CCCCCUUUCUCUCUAUUGCCAUCGCCGCUGCUUCCUUCCCCUCUUCUUCUGCGAAUCGAGGCCCUCCCCUUUCCAUUCUUUUGCCCCUGUAAGUGAACUCUCCCCUCAUUCCCAUCAAACACCAAAAUUACGAUCUUUCUGCCCUUCUCCUGAUUCAAAUUCCCCACCUUUAUAAACCCUCCACCCGCCAAAACCUCCGCUCGGUUUCAUCUCCUUCUCCUUCUUCAACCAGAUCGAAUUCUUCUUCUUUUUCUGUUUCCAACGGUCAAUUUCUCCCCUCGCUUGCAUUCCCCUUCGUAAAGUUGCAAUCUUGAUGCGUUUUGGAUCUCCGCGUCGCCUUGCCCAAAGAGUUUUAAGGUAGAAAUUCGUUUAUUUGAAUUGAUGAUUAAUGGAGAAACAUGAACUUGCGCUGGGACAGAACCCUGAAUUAGCUCUCGGCCAGAGCCAUGGUUUAGCGAUCAAUCACAGGCAUAGACUUGGCCUCACCCACGCACACGAUGAUGAUCUCGGCCUAACUCAGAGCCAUGAUCACAGCCUUGUUUUAGGGCAUCACCAUGAUAGCAGACUUGUUUUAGGGCACCACCAUCACGAUUCCCAUGAAGAAGACGAUGUUCGAGACCAUGAUUACAGCAGCGAGCUUGCACUUGGUUCAAACCACGUAGCUCAUCUUCUCACCACUCAUAACCAUGAGUUAGUCCUCUCCGACAACCACGAAUUAACUCUUGCCGAAACCCAUGAUCUCUCCGUCGAGCCCAACCUGGAGCAGCUUUCAGUCGAUCAUGGCCAUGAGCUCGCCCUCCAACCCGCUCUCGACAUCACCCAAUCUCAAUUGGUGGUCUCCCCAGUCUUACAGACUCGCAUCCUCGUCAACGCCAACCAUGAACUUCAUGUCGGACAAGAAUUCCCUGAUGUCAACAGUUGCAGAAGAGCUCUAAGAUGCGCAGCCAUCGCUUGCCAUUUCGAGAUCCAGACUGUUAAAUCCGACAAAACUCGAUUCACCGCAAAGUGCGCCGCAGAGGGAUGUCCAUGGAGGAUUCAUGCCGCAAGGCUCCCUGGUGUGCCCACCUUCACCAUCAGAACCAUCAAUGAGAAUCACAAUUGCGUUGGCAUCAACCAUCUCGGCCAUCAGCAAGCUUCUGUCCAGUGGGUUGCGAGUUCGGUCGAGGAGCGCCUCCGCGAGAAUCCGCAGUACAAGCCUAAAGAGAUACUGGAAGAGAUCCAUCGUGUUCAUGGAAUCACUUUGUCUUACAAACAAGCAUGGAGGGGGAAGGAGAGAAUCAUGUCUGCUGUUCGUGGAUCAUUCGAGGAAGGCUACCGUCUUCUUCCCGAGUACUGUGAACAGAUCAAACGCACAAAUCCAGGAAGCAUUGCAUUGGUCUAUGGAAACCAAGAAGAUAACUGCUUCAAGCGCCUGUUCAUCUCCUACUACGCUUCAAUCCAUGGUUUUGUGCAUGCCUGCCGGCCAUUAAUCGGCCUCGAUAGAACCCUUCUUAAAAGCAAGUAUCUUGGGACAUUGCUUUUAGCCACUGGAUUUGAUGGAGAUGGUGCUCUCUUCCCUCUUGCUUUCGGUAUUGUUGACGAGGAAAGUGAUGAUAACUGGAUCUGGUUCUUGUCUGAGCUUCAUUCUCUACUAGAGAACAACACAGAGAACAUGCCAAGGCUCACCAUUUUGUCAGACAGGCAAAAGGGUAUUGUUGAAGGAGUGGAUUUCAAUUUCCCAACAGCCUUCCAUGGCUUCUGUAUGCAUCAUCUUUCGGAGAGCUUCCGAAAAGAGUUCCCUCAUCAUCCAAACCUUGUCACUCUCUUGUGGGAAGCUGCUCAUGUCCUCACUGUGAUCGAUUUCGAAGCCAAGAUACUCGAGAUCGAAGAAAUCUCUCAGGAAGCCGCUUACUGGAUCAGAAGAAUCCCUCCGAGGUUGUGGGCGACCGCCUAUUUCGAUGGAACACGCUAUGGGCAUCUCACUGCAAACAUAGCAGAAUCACUCAACAGUUGGCUGUUAGAAGCCUCUGGCCUCCCCAUUGUUCAGAUGAUGGAGUGCAUAAGGAGGCAGUUGAUGACCUGGUUCAAUGAGAGGCGCGAGUUGAGCAUGCAGUGGUCCACCAUCUUAGUCCCCUCGGCAGAGCGGCGUGUUUCCGACGCUGUCGAACGGGCGCAGGGAUACCAAGUUGGACGGGCAAACGAGGCUGAGUUUGAAGUUGUCUCUCCCCAUGAGGGAAGCAACAUUGUAGACAUUCGAAAUCGAUGUUGUCUCUGUCGUGGAUGGCAACUUUAUGGCUUGCCUUGCGCUCAUGGCGUGGCAGCACUCGUCUUCUGCCGGCAGAAUGUCCAUAGGUAUGCUGAGAGCUGUUUCACCGUCGCCACGUAUCGAAAGACAUACUCGCAGACCAUUCAUCCAAUUCCUGAUAAAAGUUUAUGGAGGGAGCAGUUAGAAGCUGAGCAGGAUAAGCUGGAGAUUGUUAUAAACCCGCCGAAGUCCCUCCGGCCACCGGGAAGGCCGCGGAAGAAGAGGGUUCGCGCUGAGGACCGUGGUCGUGUGAAACGAGUUGUGCAUUGCAGCAGGUGCAAUCAAACUGGCCAUUUUAGAACAACUUGCGCUGCGCCUAUAUGAUGAAGUUGGAAUUUUUCAAAACAGUCCUGAUAUUUUUUGUAUUUUUAUUGCAUGAGGGGGCUUCCUUCUUCACUUGAUGCUAGAGAUGCGGGUGCGGGAUCAACCAAGCGGCCCGCGUCUUGAAUCCUCAUCGAUUUAUUUCAUCCCGUGCCCGUCUGUCCGUCUCCUCCCUCACUCGCUUGAUGCUCUGGGUAGAUCGAUUGCUCUUGCACAAUGAACAGAGAUGGCAGCCAUAGCUCGCACAUUUGCAUUGACUGCUUUCAGCCCUCUGAAGCCAUUAACGGAAGCCCCGAAGCUCUCAGCUUUCUCUUCUUCUUCUCAAUCUUUUAUGGACCAAAACUCACUCACGUGCGCUUAAUGGCGGUUUUAGUACUUCUUCUAUCUCAACUUUGGAUCAAAAAGAUGAGAACUUUGGGCUUUUGUAAUGUUACAGGUAUCUCAAAUCUUCGUUUUUUAGCUGGUUGUGGGGAA